rnacentral:ncRNA from 1 species
AUUCAACCCUGGGGGAGGCAACGUCCAGUAUAUAAUUAUGGGGCAAAACCUGAGAGUCCUAAUAUCAGAGCACAGAACAUAGAGCGUAGAAAACAGAACAAAAAAGUCUGAUAUCUGUGUGCUGAAAUCUUAGUUCUGAAGAUAGGAGACCCCUUGAACCUGACCCGGAUAAUGCCGGCGGAGGAAAAGGAGGCUGCUGUAUC